rnacentral:lncRNA from 1 species
AUGCCUGUGGGUCCGAGAUGCAUGUUGCAUGUGCCCUGGGAACUGCAGCCAAGUCUUGACUUUGGUCCCUUGUCUGUGCUUUUCCUGCAGGAGCCUGAACUGAGUCCACACACUGAACUCACAGACCUGCAGGGGGAGAUGGAAGAAAGAAAAUCAACAGGUUUUGAGGAUGAGAAGAACCCAAGUAAUGGCAGAGGAGGUGCUUUGCAAGAGAGAUUGCUGCAGUGGCAUCCAGGACUGUCAGUGGAAGUGGGGAAUGACAUGACACCACCUUUCGGACACCCAACUGGCAAGAGGCCACGCAGUCCAAGAAUUGGUCGCAGACUUGAAGAAACUCUUCCAGAACAAGAUACAUAAAUGGGCCACAAGAACAUAAAAAGAUAAUCAACUCAGUGUCAGUGAUCAGAGAAACAAAUUAAAACUACAGUGAGUUCCGAUUAUAUAUUCAUUACCAUGGUUAAAUUUAAAGAGAUUGAAAAUACCACAUGUGGUAAAGGUGUAAAGCCACCAGAUGUUUCUUACACUUGGGGGAAUGAGUAGUCAUUCAGGCACUUUGAAAAGCUGAAUGACAGUUGAGCACACACCCAUCAUGUGAGCAGCCUUUCCAUUCCUAGGUGUUUACAGAGUAUGUCCCCAUAACAACCUGCACAUGAAUAUCCAUAGUGAGUUUCUUCAAAAGAACUGAACUCUGGAAACUACAGGGACAUCCAUUAGUUGGUGAAUGUAUGAACUGACACAAAGUAUCGAUAUAAAGGAAUAGUGCUUAGCAAAAAAAUGUGCAAGCGCUGCUGUUGCUUGUAAGAUGGUGGAGAUUCUCUGAAUCAAGCUGCAUGGAGGCAGGCAGACAGGAAAGAGUCCAUGCGUAGUUCCAUUUAUAAGGGUGCUAAAGAUGCAAAUUCAUCUCUAAUGGCAGUGGUUGCCUGGGGCUGAGGGUUGAGGGAGUGAAGGAAAGCAAAGGGGUCCAAAGGUUGUGAGGACAUGGACACACCGUGUAUCAGAUGGUAGCUGUAGUUUUCAUAGUGUAACCAGCUAUCAAAGUGCACUUGAUUGUAUACUCUAAAGUGACAUAGUGUGUUGUGUCUGAAUUAUACCUCAAGAGAAUUCAUAUAACAGUGUAUUGUAUUCCUCCAGAAUAUAGGAAUGUUCACUAAAUAGCAGUGAAUAUUUAGCAAAUGAAAUUCAAUAGAACACACUGGAGAUUCCCAUCCUUAAUCAUUAAACAUUUAAGAACAUAUGCACUGAAGACUCCUGAAAACUCUUGCCGAGGACAUUAAAGAGCUAAAUAGGAGGUCCUGCCAUGGCCCAGUGUGUUAAGACUCUGACCGCAGUGGCCAGGUUGCUGCGGAGCUUCAGGGUCAAUGCCAGCCUGGCUGCAGUGGGUUAAAGGAUCUGGCACUGGCACAGCUGCACCUUGAAGUCAAUCCCUGGCCCACAAACAGCCCUAUGGCAUGGGUGUGGCCAUUAAAUUUAAGAAGACCUAAAUAAAUAUAUAUAAUAUACAUAUCA